rnacentral:snRNA from 12 species
AUACUUACCUGGACGGGGUCAAUGAAUGAGCAGGAAGACUCAUGGCCUAGAGCAGUGACCUCCAUUGCACUUGGGAGGGGUGCUGCUUUAAGGUCUCCCAAGAGGGAGAGCCUACGUCAAAAUUUGUGGCAGUGGGGGAUUGCGUUCGCGCAGCCUCUAC